CGUCAUUGCUUCGAGCUUUCCUUCUUGUGAAAUACCAACACCUGGGAAUUGCUAGUUUGUCUACGAAGUCUGUUGUAGGACUUAAGAAACCUGCUCACUGUGCAGACGUACCAGAGAUUACUCGGUGCCAUGGAUGCACGUACGAAAUCCAUUUGUGUUGGACUCAACAUCUUCACUGUCUGGUUCCUUAUCGUCGGUUCUUUGAUGUACGCUACAGAGAAAUCGUCUUCUAAAUCUAGUUACUUCAUAGUUAUUUGUAUCUUUGUCAUCCUCCUUCUCUUCACGCUGAUCAUGGAUAUCUACUAUGUCCUCAAGAAACGACGUAUCAACAGACCAAGCAGAUCUCAACCAGUUAUUUACACCGUCAAUGGAGGAUUCCACAUGGAAAGUCCUUAGAAACGCAUCGGGUCUCAUCUUUUGAAACAGACAUUUUAAAUGUGACCAACUAUAAAUUUUGUAGUUUAAGAUUUUAAUAUUUGGAAAAGAGAUUCCUUUUCAUUGCUUUGCAUUCUAAAGAAUGAAAUCUAAAACGCUCUCUGUAAGUGAAUCAUAAUUAGCGUUAUUUUCAAAUUUAUUGUUUUUAGAAUAUCUCAUUAAAUUCCAAUAAAAUAUAUCUUGCAGUUUUAA